UAAAUCUCAUAUAAUAAUAUAUUUAAAUAAAUAUUUCACGUUUUCAAUGCCAACUUUUUGUACUGGCGGGAUUUCCCACUACCAGUAAAUGCCUCUUUUUUGACUCCGGCUCACUCGCACGUCUCCGCCCACUUCCCCCCAUCCAUUGAAACAGAUCUUUGGUUUUGCCUUUGCUGACUGCUGAUCUGAUCGUCUCAAGUCUGAACAGGCCCCUCUUGGUAUUUGGGAGUGUAGAUAAGAACGUCCUGCUCUCCCCUUCCUGGGAGUGAAACGGCUCGUAGAGAACCAGAGUGAACAGAUCUUUGGUUUUGCCUUUUCUGACUGCUGAUCUGAUCGUCUCAAGUCUGGUGACCUGCUGCAGAAGCUCUCUCCCUCUAUCAUUAACAAGCCAUUCAGUCUGUCCUAUCACUCUCCCCACUCUAUCUAUUUUGACAAGCCGUUCUAUCUUGCUUCACUCUAUCCCACAAGCUCUAAGUUAUCAAAAAUCACGUUUUUAACUGGAAUCCAAUUUUGACUGGAAUCAAGUUUUGACUGGAAUAAUCAAGUUUUGACAUGGCCCCAUUUUUGGGAAAUUGAAGUUACCAGUACUUCAUCUAUCUGUUACAGAAUUCUGAGAGAUCUCUGCUCUCACUGCUCCUUCUUUCCUAUCGUUAAACUCUCUCACAUCCAGUCUUUUUGCUGGAAAUUACAAGUAGAAAGUUGAAAUUACAAGAGUAGAAUUACAGUACAGUAGGAACUACUUACACAGCCCUAGAUUUAUUUAAAUCUAUACUUGGAACACUUUAGAAUAAACACUGAUAGUUUGGCUUAAAGGUGCAAUUACUUUGAUACAUUAUAUAAAAUUUACACCUUCUUUAAGGUUUUUGUAAUAAAAUAAACUUAUUUUGUAACACAUACAUUCAGACUGCUGUAUUCAUAAAAAUAUUAAAUUAGUUAACUUAAAAUACAUUUUGCUAGUCUGUUUCAUUGACUGUAACAUUUGACUACAGUAGGUUUAUACUGUUAUUAUUUAAGGACAAGUUCUGUUACUGAGUUUAAGUGUUCAGUCACAAUUGUCAUUGAGAAGCUGCCCAGAGGACCCAGACUUCCUGUUUCCUGACUGCUGCAGAACAUCCAGCUGAAGAAUCCUAAUUGCCUGUCAUCUGUUCACCACACCACCACAGCUCCUAAUUUUUGCUUUAAAAAUUUAAAUAUCUGAAAGAUUUACACACACUAAUUAAAAGCUAAGAGUUUUCCUAUAACCUGUUAAUUGUGAUUUAUUCUGCAUAUGCCUUUACAGAAGUUAAGAGCUAUUCAUUAACGAGUCUGGUUAAAAAUAUAAGAAGUAAAAAUAUUCUGUUUUUGAAAAAGCUACAAUAAAACUGAGCCAAGUGUUUUCAGAGAACUUUGAAUAUCUUGAGUUUGGAUUAAAG
ensembl:lncRNA